rnacentral:rRNA from 1 species
UACGUAGGGGGCAAGCGUUGUCCGGAACCAUUGGGCGUAAAGCGCGUGUAGGCGGCCCGGUAAGUCCGCUGUAAAAGUCCAGGGCUCAACCCUGGAAAGCCGGUGGAUACUGUCGGGCUCGAGUCCGGAAGAGGCGAGUGGAAUUCCUGGUGUAGCGGUGAAAUGCGCAGAUAUCAGGAGGAACACCGAUUGCGAAGGCAGCUCGCUGGAACGUAACUGACGCUGAGACGCGAAAGCGUGGGGAGCAAACAGG